CCUCCCCCUGAGCAGAGCCCUCAGUGUGGCUGCCAAUGAUACCAUCCCAUCUAACCGGGCAGAAGCAGCUUUUGAAGUGGUAACUCUUACCCGGUGCUUGCAUCCAGUCCUAGCCACUCCAUCCUCUCCGAUUGCAUUCUUCACCCCGGAAGACAUUUAGCGGAACCACCUAGCUAUCUGCGAGAAUCUUGAAAAAUCUUAGUCAGUAAAACAAAUUGGAUCAUUGUGGACUUGCCAGCAUUUUUACAUCUGAUAUGUGUGACAUAAACUGCUUUUCUCAGUGGAGCAGAGAAUUUGACAUGCAGCUCAAAGGCUCACUUUCAGGAUUAAGCUCUUCCGUAGACUUACUUUUGCCUCCCAAAUCUAUCCCUAUGAGCUCCCCUGCUUGUUACAGUCCCAGAAGAGAGCUCUGGCUUUAUCUCCUUUGCAAACCUUGUGUGGACAACCAAGCUCAGCCGCUCUUCAACCUCCUGUAUCCUCAGACUGCAUUUGCAAUGAAAUAUAUUUCCAUUCACAGGUCA